rnacentral:rRNA from 1 species
UACAGAGGUCUCAAGCGUUGUUCAGAUUCAUUGGGCGUAAAGGGUGCGUAGGUGGCGCCGUAAGUCGGGUGUGAAAUUUCGGAGCUUAACUCCGAAACUGCAUUCGAUACUGCGGUGCUUGAGGACUGGAGAGGAGACUGGAAUUCAUGGUGUAGCAGUGAAAUGCGUAGAGAUCAUGAGGAAGACCAGUGGCGAAGGCGGGUCUCUGGACAGUUCCUGACACUGAGGCACGAAGGCCAGGGGAGCAAACGGG